rnacentral:rRNA from 1 species
GUACGUAGGGCGCGAGCGUUGUCCGGAAUUAUUGGGCGUAAAGGGCUCGUAGGCGGUUUGUCGCGUCGGGAGUGAAAUCCACUGGCUUAACUGGUGGCUUGCUUUCGAUACGGGCAGACUGGAGGUAUGCAGGGGAGAACGGAAUUCCUGGUGUAGCGGUGAAAUGCGCAGAUAUCAGGAGGAACACCGGUGGCGAAGGCGGUUCUCUGGGCAUGUCCUGACGCUGAGGAGCGAAAGUGUGGGGAGCGAACAGG